rnacentral:ncRNA from 1 species
UGCAUAACAUUUUGCCUUUUUCGUAUAUCCUUAAUAAUCGGGUUAAGGGUCUCUACACAGAAACCGUAAAUUUCUGGCUACGAAGAAUAGGCCCCUUGGG